GAAAGCAGUAAAUCUAACUGACAGGAGAUAAACUUCUUGGGCACCAAGGCAAUGAAAAUGGUGUUGAUCUAUGUGUUUGCAGAUGUGGCUCCAGGGUAUAAUCUGUCCAGCUGCUCAAUAUCAGGACAGCCACAUGGGCACCACCUCAGGGAAGAUAAAUACAAAACCUUUUAGUCAAGGAGAUAAACACAAUUGCUGCUGCUAGUUCUUACAUGGAAAACCUGCUGAUUGUCACUGUUGCAGGGAGGAAGAGCUACUGAAAUAUUCCGAGGCAUGGAGAGUAAAAGGCCUGGCCACAAAUCCAAGGACUGACGGAGGUAUAGAGAGUAAUAAUCUUGGCUUGCACCAGUUCUUUCAAGAGCCCUAAAACUGGACUAUAAAACCAUGGAAGACACUGAUGUGAAGAGACAGAUGGCUACAAUAAUAGCGUCAUUAUUCUAUAGCUUUGAGUGAAGUGGAUACAGCAUAUGUUCCAUAAAUUUAAAAGAAAAAGAAAAGCUCACCUCUAUUCAUAAUGAAAAAGAAACAUUGUAACAGCAGAGACUCUGGGUGCCAUAGAAAGAAAAUAUGUCAUGUCAGAUAUGCAUAUCUAAGUGAACAUAUUUUAUCUCUUAAAACUUAAAGGGAGAACAGCUGUAGCUAUUAUUAUUUUUCAACAAGUGAUUAGUUUGAUAUACUGAUACUAUAUUUGAAUUUGCCAAUAACUUAAUCAGAAAAUAGAAUGUGCAGUUUUAAUAAGGAUAUUGUUUAAAUCAGGCCCAUCUGCACUGUGUCUCCUAGGCCUCCUCUCCAAAAACAGUCCUGGAUCAGAAAAGUGAAUAAUUUCAAACAAUUAUAAUGAUUACAAAGGAACUGUUACCACCUGCUGCUGACUCUUGGCAGCCAUCAGUCAAUGAAGGAUUUAAUUAGAAUAUUUAUCAACAAUGGCCAAAAUGCCUUUUGAUUUGUUCCUGAUUUCUCCAAGCUGGAAGAGUAAACUCUUUGCAAACUUCAAUUAAAAGACAUUGGAAAUUCUGGGGGUCUUACCCAACCGGCUUUAUUCAAUUCUCUAAUUUGGUUUUCUUGGUUUAUGACAAGUAUGUGUG
rnacentral:lncRNA from 1 species